rnacentral:lncRNA from 1 species
UUUGAUAUCAGCCGUUGAUCAAAAUGAUCCCACGGCUGAUAUCCAAAACUCCAAUAUUUCCUUUUAUCUCAAUUACCCCCAACCCUAAUCCUUAUUUCUCAAAACAAUAGCAGCUCCUCUCCUGCUCUUUCUCUCUUUAUUCCCCCUUCUCUCUAAAAAACUAACACCGGCAGCCAGCUAACGAUCAACUGCAGCCACCACCGGCAACCCUACACCAGAGAACACCAUCCAAUGAGCCAGCCCCUGCCGGAGAUCCCUCUCUGCUACCCUUCUUCCGACGAAUAACCACCGUUCAGCCACUGCCGCCUCUUCAUCUCAACCAUCUCCCGCCGCUGCUCAACUGCCACUGGCAAAACAGAUAAGCCGCUGGUCUCUCAUCUCUCUACAAUCCCUCCGUCAUCCCUCCAACUGUGGCAAGCCACCAGUGGCCGACGAAAUGCCUCCAACCAACGUCAACUCCACUACUCCCUCUGUCAGCUUCCAUAAUUUUUUAGCCAUGCAGCCGGCGCCACCACCACAACAACAAUAAUACAUCGCCGACGCUGCUCCAGUCAAAUCCACAAAAUUUUCAUAACGGAUUCUUAAGAAUCUGUCUUAAGAUUUGAGUUUCUCGGGCUAAUUUAAUCAGCUACCCUCUUCUUUUUAUUUUAUUCAAGGUAUAUCUUGUGAUUUAAAAUUAACAAAAACUUGUUUGAGGUUUUUGGCCUAAUUUCUUACGAUUUGGGUUUGCUAACUUCCUUAGAUUAUCAUCUAUCAGAAUCCCUGAUUUUUACGAACCGUGGUUAGAAUUAAUUUUGCAUGAAAAAAAUUUGAAGUUGCUAAUGUUCCCAUGGUCUAUCGAACAUAUUCAUCGCUAUCAUUUUGUCAUAAUUUUGGGUAUGUUGGUGUUGAUCGUUGUUGUUGUUGUUUACAUAAAAACUCAUUACGUGUGAUUAUAUGCGGCUAAUUAUUUGCUCCGCUUUAAUUACUGUGUGAAUGUGAAUUAGAAUUAACUUAGUAGUAUAAUUUUUCCUACUUCUCUACUGCUAAUUUGAAUUUUUCUACUGUUGUCUGUCUUAAUUUGUGGAAAGGAGAUUUCACUAAUUGAAUAUUCUUUUUAUUUUGUUAGAUGUUAAUUGACGCAGUUUCCUAGUUGAAAUUGAGACGACUUUUUUAAUUGAGUCAUUUCUAAAUAAGUAUUACUUGAAUAUUUAUGACGUGCGUGUGAUUGAGGAUCUAUGCAUUGGUUAAUUUGCUCUAGUUAUUGUAAAAAUUGCAGAGAAAUUGCGUGGGUUUUUAUUUAUUUUUACAUAUUGUGAAUAUUUGUGGCAAGUAGCAUAAUUUUCCCUCUUCAGUGAUUUGAUUUACUGAUUUAAAGUGAUUGAUUUGAGAAAAUAUUUAUUCCUUUUCUUCCUUUUUAUUACCCUGAUUGAUUAUCACAUAUUUUUACCUUCUAACUCUUUCUGUUGUCCACUAUAUAAGGGUCCCUCCUUAUUUAUAUUCAAACACCUCUUAUCACACACUCCUACUCUGACUUCUACACUAUUCUACACUACACUUAAGUGCUAAAUUUUGCCUGCUGCUUCUACUUUGGGAUUUCUAAUUAUUGUUUACUUAUACGGCUGCUUAUCCACUCUUGAAAGUUCAAUCUUCUUUUGUUAUUGUGCUGUGGACCGGUUUUUUUAAUUAGACGAUCCAUUUAAUUACUACACGAUAAUUUUAAAUGCUUUAAUGCUUAUCUUGAUUGUUUUCUAAAUGCUAUUAAGUUGUUUGCUGUGACAUAUUUGUAAAUUCAUCAUUUCUUCGUAUGCUCUCUCGAUUGAAAUGCUAUAUAUCUGUUGUUUGUUGUGCAUUUGGGAUAUGUGGCUUUGUUUUAUAGAUAUUAUCGAGCCUCCGACAUUAUAUGAAGGGCUGCCGAAAAUUGGAAUAUUGUUAGUUGUAGUUCCUUAUGUUUUAUCUCUUUUUCACUUUCUAUGUAAUUAAUUGUACAAACUUUAGUGAUGUAAUAAUGUAGUAAUCAAUUAUAGGGGACUGCUUGGGGACGGGGUGUUAUGUGAAUCUCUUAGGGAAACGAAAUUUAGGAUUCAUCAAUUGACUUGGUUUGUCACUUAUAAAACAUGCCUAUGGGAUCAUUAAUCAACAUGUGGCUCAAGAUUAAUUUCAACCUCUGUGCUUAAUUUCUGGCUAUCGUAGGCGGUUUAAAAUUCAGAUGUAUAUUUUCAACAAUUAAAAAAGGAAUCAUCAUCAACUAACACAUAAAAUGAACUUUCAGUAAUUAAAAUAGAAGUUUCACUAUGUAGUUCCACAUAUUAAAUCACUUUUCAAGAUUUUAAAAUAAGUUUCCCGUAUAUAGAAUAAUUUGAGCAAUUUAGAAUUAAUUUUUAGCAUGUUAAAACACAUUUCCAGCACAUCAAAAUAGUUGGUCUUUCUUAAGUAACUAAAUAUUUCUUUACAGUGUGUACAUUGGUUUCCAGCAUAUUAAAGGGUGAAGAUGAUUUAUAAGUAUAUUAAAACAAAUUUUCAAAACAUAAAAUUGGAUUUCGCUCAUUAUCUUAUCAAUUCGUAGAAGAGAUUUUCACAUGCGAAUUAUUUUCAGCAAUUAUGAUAUAGUUUUUCUGACACUACAAAUAAUUUCCAAACACCUUUCACUAAUUUUACAACAUGUUUCUUUUAUAAUAAAAUUAACGAGGAUUACGCUCCAACAUAGUUACUUUAUUUUGACAUACUCUGUUUUUAAGUGAUUUGACAACUACUUUCCGUCAAUAAAUCGUUACUUUCCAUGUAGACAUCAUGCUUAAUUAUCUUUUACAUAAUAAAUUAACGUUCUUAUUCUCUCACAUUUUGAUAUGCCCCUUUUUAUUCUCAACGAAUUUUACAAUAUUAUUUUAAAAUGAUUAAUAAUUAUCUUCCAUCAUACUAACAAUUCCUUAGAUACCAUGCCUAUAGGUUAAUGACACAAAAAUAAAUAAUUAUUUGUCUUUGCAUGUUAAUCAUAUUAACCAUUAUUUAAUAAUCAAGAGGCUAACUUUGGACAAUUAUGUGCUACAUGAUGUCCUAUGUGUUUACGCACUUUGAGUUCUAGGAAACAUAUCUUUAUUUUUCUAGACCACAAAUCGAAAUUAGCAAAGCCCAAUGCUUCUUGGGCGAUAGGUGGGACGAUAGGUAUUUCUAUAGGCAUUAGUUUUACCCUUUUUAGUGCACCUUUAGGUUAACAAUCAGCCUAGAUGGGCUGGGACAGGUAGUUAUUCGAAAGUGAUAUUACCCAGAAACAUUACACGAUGUUUGACAUUGUUACUUGUUUAAGCAUUCGGCUAGUUGGCCAGAUACUGACUAACAAGUUAUGGUUCUGAUCCGAAUGAGACCAAAAACUAUUCUUUGUUUGAUUUUGCGAAUUCUUUUUUUUAACGUUUACUGUAUAUGCUUAUUUGCUUGGGGUAGUUUAGGUUUUGAAAUUAAUAAAUAUUUUUGUUAUAAAUUAUGUCACUUCUCUCUCCUCACUUGUCUUAUUUACAUUUUUUAUUGAUUUCAUCACUUCGGUAAUUGAUAGUUAAAAUAACCAAAUAAUGUAUUUGUUUAUUCAUUACUUUAUCACUUAGUCAACAUUUAUGUUAAUAAUAAAAUCAGUGACCUUUGUUUUAUCACAUAGAAUCUCCACAUAAAAUACGAAUUCGGCCGGAAAUCACCUUUGUGGACCUCGAAAGGUUCCUAACACCUUACUUUUGAGGUAAUUUGAACCCUUACUCGAAUUUCUAGUGAACUAAGACUAAACAACAAAAUAGGUUCGUAGUUAGCCUAGAUCGGUGCCCUAACAAACCUUAAUUCGUAAGGUGGCGACUCUUCACACUCUUAUCAAAAUAAUCCCAAAACGAGUGGCCACGUCGAAUCCUGCUUUUCACGAAAAAUAUAAGGCGCGACAAGCAACCUCCUAAGAUUUAAUUUCAUGGUUUGCGGACUAUGUAAAUUAUCUAGCUAGUGAUCUAGUCCAAGAAGAUCUCUCCUUCAAACAAAGAAAGAAUUUUAUACAUGAGGUAAGGAAAUUUUUCUGGGAUGAGCCUUAUUUAUUCAAAAUUAAUGCGGAUGAGAUUAUUCGUAGAUGUAUGCCUAAGGUGGAGAUGAUGAGCAUAUUUAACGCUUGUCAUUCUUUGCUAGUUGAGGGUCAUCAUGGAGGAACCCGCACAACCCACAAAAUCUUGCAAUGUGGGUACUACUGGCCAAUAAUUUAUAAGGAUACAAAAUCCGUACUGCUUGCGAAUUUUAACAAGUUAAGCAACUGUUCAACGUUUUCCCUAUGAGUUCGACCACAGCCUAGUUUAGGUUACUAUAAUUGGUAUCAACCGCGACAUACUUUUUUGAAGGUUAGUUUUGGGCGAUAUGAACAACUUUGGGGACCUGCUCUUCCUUAGCAAACAAGUCUAAAUAACUAGGUCGGUGUGGGGGCAGCGGUUAGGCAAGUAUGGUGAUCUUAGGAGGAAUGGAUCGAAUGUGAAUCUCUGUAAGAGAGUAUACCUCGGUGCACAAUGUAUCCACCUCAUCCCUAAUCUCAGCUAGAUCAGGUGCCUCAAUCUCAAUAAAUCAUACCUGCACUCUUCUCUCAGAAGUAUCAAUGCGGCUAUGCAACUCGAUCCUCAUCUCGGUCCUCAUCUUUACCAUCUCAGCCCUCACAACAACCCAAAUCUAAUUCUCUGCACUCUCUAAAGAUAUUUGGUCCCAAGGCUGGAUCUGCUUAUAUAAUAUGGAAAUCUCAGACUCUGCCUUAAUCAAUAGUGUUAUGGUCUCAUCUUACAUCUCUACUAGGUGCUGUAAAAAUUCUUGAGGUACUACAAUUAUUCCUGGAGUUAUAGAAGUGGCAAGGGGGUCUAGAAGAUACCCUAACCAACUCAACAGUAAAGGGUGGUGCUAAAGUAGAUAUGGCUGGGGUCCCCUCCUCUUGAGUUCUCAUCUCAGGAGCCUUUCUCUUCUCACCCAUCUAAAAGUCCAUACUCAUAUCCACAUCAACUCCCAGUUUAUAACUAGGCUUUACAGGAACUGAUGGGUCCUUCGAUAGGGCUAGAAUUACUGUUGGAGGCCUAUGAGUCCUCUGAGCAUGGACCGAGUUUGUCGGAUCCUUAAUCAAACUCGUUUGGGCCACACCAAUCAUCUUAACUAUCUAGUCAACACCUCAAACCUUAGUUACAACAUCCUCAUCGUAUAGCUACUGGACAAGGUAAGGAAAGGGUAGUAUGGUUAAUUCACCUAAAGCUCUCUUAUAUAGCUCAUACAUGAUAAUGGCUGCAAAGUCUAUAUCAUAUUUAACCUUCAGACUCGCAAUCAAUGCAACACCAUCCUAUGUAAGGAAGUUUUCCAUAUUAUUCGGAUAUAAUCGGUAAAAUACCACCAUCUAUCAUAACUUUAUAGUAAAUUUAGUGUUGCCUUCUUAAUGUGCCCUUUUUCCUUGAUCUAAGGGGCCUCCUCACCAAGAUUUGAAAUAUAAUUGGCAAUCUAUCUUUCCAAAUCUACCCCCUAUUUCUUAUGUUUAACAUCCUUCAUAAUGCAUCUAUCUUAUGUAAAUUUUAAUUGAAAAUUGCACUUUACAGUAGAUACUAGUGCUAUAUAAUCUGGGACAAAAAGAGAUCGACGGAUGGACUCUAUUGAAAUAUCAACCAUGAUACCUCUCACCAUUUUUUGCUCUAACUGAGGGUUCUCUACACGCCUACAAGCUCUAGGUAUGGUCAGAGAUACCAUAGCACAGUGAGAGGAAUAAAAAUCCCGCACUAAUGCCUGACUAUAUGAAUCCUAUGUUCUAGUCAUCUACCCUAACUGAUAACAAUCAAAUACAACCCCCAAAAGUGGUGCUCCAACAAAAACAAAAAACUCAAUCUAUUUCUCCUCCCAAAUAUCCUUCUUGGGUUGGCCUAACCCAGUCAUAAAGCUAUCUCUCUUAUUAAUUAUCCGUAACCCUUAUACGUACUACCUCGUAUUCACCUCAGCAAUAAGCUCAAUUGAGAUAUGAGUAGGAUCGAAAGUCUGGUCAGUUUGGGUAGGUGGCUCUAUUUCUGGUGCUGGAACCUAAUGAGUUGUCUGGAUUUUACCUCCUUACACUUGGGUACUGUAGAUAAUGGCUCAAGAACUGCUACUACAAACUCAUCUUGUGACCCUUCCUUAGACUGGAGGUGCUCUGCUAGUGGCUUUGACUCUACCUCCUCUUCAUCAUCUUCCUUUCCCUUAUUAUACUAGGGAGAGUAUGGAGGUGACAACCUAGAUGACUUUAUUCGCAGCUUGGAAACUAGUCAGAUGGCCUCUGGCUAGGCCCUAGCCUGAGUAAAAGUGGUCUGUCUGCCUCACUGUGUUCGUGUUGGGAGAUAGAUUCCCAAAAUGGCUCUAAUAAUAUGCUCGAUUGUAUCCUGUAUAUGGGCCCUAGUCUGUGGGUGAACUGCUCUAGUCAGGGCAAUUUGGUACUUCUUUAAUGAGCCACUGCACUCGGGGGUUUUGACCCGUUGCCUCGAUGGUCUUUCCUUCUUUGGUGCCAUAGUACUUGAAAAAACAAGUGUUAAGAGAAUAAUGGAGUGCAAACUUUGAAUAAAAAUUAAAAUUAUUAAACUUUUGACUUUUUUUUUAAAUUUUACAUCCCUAUAUAGUAAAUUGUAGCCCAUUCCAAUUCAAGAAUGCACAUAUCACUAGUAUCAAUAAACAAAGCACAGGCAUGACUUAUAAACUUUUGUACUUCAUCAUGUUUUCAACUUUUAAUUUCAAAUAGGGCAUGAUCAUAGGGUUUUAAUUCUAGAACAAUGCCCUAAUUUCAACUUUCUUGAUUAUUCUAGGCUCCUAUAAACAAGGACUUUGAGUUUAACAUAAUUUUAUAGAAUAUUCAAGUACCAACUCAUUUAUUAUAUGUUAAUAUCGUAUUAUUGAACUUGUCCGAGCCAUGAAGUUUACCUUUUAUUAAAGAUGGAAGAAGAACCUUGAAUAAGUAUAGAAACCCUAGCCUUAGUCAAUAAAUUUGUGUGCAAGUGAUGGACUGAGUGAUGGGUCUUUCCUUAUAUAGAGUUUGAGAGGAAAUUGGAAAGUUUGAAUUUUAGAGGGAGAUGGAAAUUUGAGGAUUAUAAAGUGAAUACCCAUGCCAAUUUUUGCAUGGUUAUGAUUAGGGUAGGCCCAGAUUUUUUUUAAAAAUUAGGCCAAAAAAUCUAGUCACUUAUGGCACCAGCAAUGGGGCAUAGGUGGCACCUACUACCCAUAGGUUCCUUCCCGUAGGUGACCUUGAGUUUUGUGCUCUUUCCUUGCUCUAUGAACUUUUUAUUCUGACACAUAUUUCACUACUUACGAGGUCUUAAGUGAUACUUAUUACUCAAUAAGUAGGUUUGUAGGUGGAAGUUCAAAAAUUCCUAAAAAUUCUCAAAACUUUCUUUUGAUUUUAAAUACACUACUUACCUGGACCGAGUGGGACUUAUGACCUCGAUGAGUGGGUCAAUAAGUCUACUUACUUGGAAUAAUCUAAAUUAAGUGAUGAUUUACCUCAUUCUAGGUUGUUCCUUAUGCUAUAGACCUACAAAGAAAGAAAAAAA